rnacentral:tRNA from 1 species
GCGCUGGUAGCUCAGUGGAUAGAGCAAGGUGGGUCGGUAACCCCUAGGUCGGGAGUUCGAGUCUCUCCCAGCGCGCCA